GCCGUGACCCUGGUGGAGUCCGGGGGCACCUCAAGGCCCCGGGGGAGUCCCUGCGGCUCCUCUGCCGCGCCUCCGGCUUCACCUUCAGCAGCUACGGAAUGGGCUGGAUGCGCCAGAGCCCCGGGAAGGGGCUGGAAUGGGUCGCUGGGAUCUACAAUGAUGGUGCUCUCACCAACUAUGCGCCGUCGGUGCAGGGCCGGUUCAGCAUCCCCAGGGACAACGGGCAGAGCUCGGUGACGCUGCAGAUGAACAACCUCAGGGACGAGGAUUCCGACACCUAUUUCUGCGCCAGAGAUGGUUAUGAUGGUUGUUGUAAUGCUGCUGAUAUCGACGUCCUUGGCGGGGUCCCCACCUGUCCCCAAACUCCAGACCCUCCUUCCAGACCUCCAUUCUUUGGACCUGAAUCACAACCAUUGACCCAAAACUCAACCAUUGACCCAAAUCUCAACCACUGA